UACGUAGGGACCGAGCGUUGCCCGGAAUCAUUGGGCGUAAAGAGCGUGUAGGCGGCUCGAUAAGUCUGCUGUGAAAGUCCAGGGCUCAACCCUGGGAUGCCGGUCGAUACUGCCGGACUAGAGUUCGGAAGAGGCGAGUGGAAUUCCCGGUGUAGCGGUGAAAUGCGCAGAUAUCGGGAGGAACACCAAUGGCGAAGGCAGCUCGCUGGGACGUUACUGACGCUGAGACGCGAAAGCGUGGGGAGCAAACAGG
rnacentral:rRNA from 1 species